GCACCCGUAGCUCAGCUGGAUAGAGCGGCAGCCUCCGAAGCUGUAGGUCAGAAGUUCGAAUCUUCUCGGGUGCACCA
rnacentral:tRNA from 7 species